AGGGAUCAUUACUGAGUGAAGGGGCCCCCACGGGGACCCCUUGCCUCUCACCCUUUGUGAACACAACUCGUUGCUUCGGGGGCGACCCUGCCGUUUACGCGGCGAGCGCCCCCGGAGGCCUUCCAACACUGCAUCUCUGCGUCGGAGUUUAAGUAAAUUAAACAAAACUUUCAACAACGGAUCUCUUGGUUCUGGCAUCGAUGAAGAACGCAGCAAAAUGCGAUAAGUAAUGUGAAUUGCAGAAUUCAGUGAAUCAUCGAAUCUUUGAACGCACAUUGCGCCCUCUGGUAUUCCGGAGGGCAUGCCUGUUCGAGCGUCAUCUCACCACUCAAGCCUGGCUUGGUAUUGGGCGCCGCGGUGUUCCGCGCGCCUCAAAGUCUCCGGCUGAGCUGUCCGUCUCUAAGCGUUGUGAUUUCAUUAAUCGCUUUGGAGCGCGGGCGGCCGCGGCCGUUAAAUCUUUCACAAGGUUGACCUCGGAUCAGGUAGGGAUACCCGCUGAACUUAA
rnacentral:rRNA from 1 species